UUUUUCCGGUCUCCUCCUUUCCUAGCUUUUCCGGUCCGGUUCUCUCCUUGCUUUUCCGGUUCGGUUCCGUCUUGCUCUUUGCUUUUCCGGUUCGGUUUCGUCCGGUUCGGUUUUGGCUUGUUGGUUCUUUCUUGGUUUGGGAUGAUGAUGAUUUGUGGUUGUAUGAAUGGUUUGAGUGUUUGAUUUGAAAAAGUAUUGGAAAAGUAAAAAAUAAGUGUUUGUGAAUUGCUGCUGAUUUUCUGUGAACAGUGAUUUUCUGGCCCAUUUCCCAAUGAUUGACAGGGUUUUUAUAGUGACAAACUAGGGUUGGCUCUGGUACAAAACAAAGACCAAAAUGCCCCUGCAGCUGAGACUUGGAAAAAAAGAUUU
rnacentral:lncRNA from 1 species